rnacentral:piRNA from 1 species
GUAUAAUUUUGAAUUGGGUCAUGCUUCUGC